GGGCGCAUAGCUCAGCUGGUUCAGAGCAUCUGCCUUACAAGCAGAGGGUCGGCGGUUCGAAUCCGUCUGCGCCCA
rnacentral:tRNA from 1 species